GUGCCAGCAGCCGCGGUAAUACGGAGGAUCCAAGCGUUAUCCGGAAUCAUUGGGUUUAAAGGGUCCGUAGGUGGAAGGUUAAGUCAGAGGUGAAAUCCUGCAGCUCAACUGUAGAAUUGCCUUUGAUACUGGCUUUCUUGAAUUACUGUGAAGUAGCUAGAAUAUGUAGUGUAGCGGUGAAAUGCAUAGAUAUUACAUAGAAUACCGAUUGCGAAGGCAGGUUACUAACAGUACAUUGACACUGAUGGACGAAAGCGUGGGUAGCGAACGGGAUUAGAUACCCCGGUAGUCCACGCCGUAAACGAUGGAUACUAGCUGUCCGGAUUUAUCUGGGUGGCUAAGCGAAAGUGAUAAGUAUCCCACCUGGGGAGUACGUUCGCAAGAAUGAAACUCAAAGGAAUUGACGGGGGCCCGCACAAGCGGUGGAGCAUGUGGUUUAAUUCGAUGAUACGCGAGGAACCUUACCAGGGCUUAAAUGUAGGCUGCAUGGGGUAGAGAUAUCCCUUUCUUCGGACUGCUUACAAGGUGCUGCAUGGUUGUCGUCAGCUCGUGCCGUGAGGUGUCAGGUUAAGUCCUAUAACGAGCGCAACCCCUGUUGUUAGUUGCCAGCGAGUAAUGUCGGGAACUCUAACAAGACUGCCGGUGCAAACCGUGAGGAAGGUGGGGAUGACGUCAAAUCAUCACGGCCCCUUACGUCCUGGGCUACACACGUGCUACAAUGGUAGGGGCACAGAGAGCCAGCCCACUUCGC
rnacentral:rRNA from 1 species